rnacentral:rRNA from 2 species
GUGCGAGACCGAUAGCGAACAAGUACCGUGAGGAAAAGAUGAAAAGAACUUUGAAAAGAGAGUUAAAGAGUACCUGAAACUGCUGAAAGGGAAGCGAAUCGUAUCCAGUGUCUAUAAUCUGCGGCAUAUUUCAUUGGCGGCGGUGCGCGUGCUUUUGCGUCGGAAGCGGCUUUUGUUGCUCUGUGCUUUUGCUGUGCGUGGUGUUGCUGGUGCCCUGUGUUGCGGUGGGACGUCAGAGUCAGUUUGUAUGCUGCGGGAAAUGGCUGCCGAGGAGGUAGGUCGAGAUUUCGGUCUUGGCUGUUAUAUCUUGGUGGUUUGUUGUCGUGGUUGAGACUGAGGUGCCUACAAUGUGCUUUUGAGUGUACCGGGUUCUCAUUUGGUGGACUGUUUGGAUAGCUUGCUAUGCUUGUGGUUUUUUCAUCGGGUGAUUGAGUCUGGUGGUAACUUGUUGCUGUUCGGGACUUUGA